AGUGAACGCUGGCGGUAGGCCUAACACAUGCAAGUCGAACGGCAGCACAGUAAGAGCUUGCUCUUACGGGUGGCGAGUGGCGGACGGGUGAGGAAUACAUCGGAAUCUACUUUUUCGUGGGGGAUAACGUAGGGAAACUUACGCUAAUACCGCAUACGACCUACGGGUGAAAGCAGGGGAUCUUCGGACCUUGCGCGAUUGAAUGAGCCGAUGUCGGAUUAGCUAGUUGGCGGGGUAAGGGCCCACCAAGGCGACGAUCCGUAGCUGGUCUGAGAGGAUGAUCAGCCACACUGGAACUGAGACACGGUCCAGACUCCUACGGGAGGCAGCAGUGGGGAAUAUUGGGCAAUGGGCGCAAGCCUGACGCAGCCAUGCCGCGUGAGUGAAGAAGGCCUUCGGGUUGUAAAGCCCUUUUGUUGGGAAAGAAAAGCAGCAGGUUAAUACCCCGCUGUUCUGACGGUACCCAAAGAAUAAGCACCGGCUAACUUCGUG
rnacentral:rRNA from 1 species